rnacentral:rRNA from 1 species
AACGAACGCUGGCGGCAGGCCUAACACAUGCAAGUCGAGCGAAGCCUUCGGGCUUAGCGGCGGACGGGUGAGUAACGCGUGGGAACGUGCCCUUUGGUACGGAGUAGCCCCGGGAAACUGGGAGUAAUACCGUAUGUGGUCGAGAGACGAAAGAUUUAUCGCCAAAGGAUCGGCCCGCGUUGGAUUAGGUAGUUGGUGGGGUAAUGGCCUACCAAGCCGGCGAUCCAUAGCUGGUUUGAGAGGAUGAUCAGCCACACUGGGACUGAGACACGGCCCAGACUCCUACGGGAGGCAGCAGUGGGGAAUCUUAGACAAUGGGGGAAACCCUGAUCUAGCCAUGCCGCGUGAUCGAUGAAGGCCUUAGGGUUGUAAAGAUCUUUCAGUGGGGAAGAUAAUGACUGUACCCACAGAAGAAGCCCCGGCUAACUCCGUGCCAGCCGCCGCGGUAAGAC